CCAGACCACGCCCUGCCACAUAUCCCCGAACCUUCCCCCCACCCCCCGAGUGGGAGAGGGAAUCAGCCCCGACCGUCUGCAUCGCCCAGCGGCAGGGACGUGUUGAUUGCCGCUUGUCGGGCGGCCGGCCGCAUGGCCAGGGCGGCAAUGGAGCCGGUGUUGUGACAAACCAUCCUACUUUGGCAAAACGUCUUACCAAACAACGGGUAGGAUGGUUUGUCGGGUAGGAUGGAUUCCCAGAACACCUGAGCGAAGGCCGCCCGCGUGGCAAGCGGUGGCGGUGGCACAGCAGUCGCAGCCAUGAUUUGAGGCUCUCAGGUAGCUUGACAGGCGGCCGGCGUGCAGGACCCUCGCUCGCCCCCACCUCCGGCUCCGGCUAAGCAGGUACCUUGCGCGCCCCGAACUCCGGCUCGGCUGUCCUCCUCUGGGGAACAGGAAUGGAUUCAGGCAGAGGGAGAAACCGGCGAAGUGUGAUUUUUGGAUACCGCUCAGGUGUGUCCGCCUCCCCGGCAGCCACGCGGCAGACCACGCCCUGCCAUACCGUGUCAUGCAGUGUUUGCACCAGCUGGUGUAACGAGGCACUGAUACCAAAGGAGAUGUUGCUGUGGAGCUCUGAGAUGCUCUCAGCUCGGAUAAAAUGGUCCAUCUUUACCCUUACUCAUGCAUGGACAUUGCUUUAUGACAUCAUGGAGUCCAUUUCUUCUGCUGCAAGAAUUGCAACUACACACAUCAUAAUCUGCUUUGCUGAAUCAAUACUAUUCAACUUCUUAUGAGAGUUUCAAGAAGUCAUGAAGUAUCAUUGUGUUGCUUUGAUAAUCAAAUAUAUGUUUAACAAGAUUGAGUUGUUUUAAUUACAUUUCAUAAAGGCAAUCAA